ensembl:lncRNA novel transcript
GAAACAGGGUCUUGCUCUGUCACCCAGGGUCAAAGUAACAAGCUGCAGUCCUGGCCAACGGGAGCAGGUCCUGUCAGGUUGGAAACUGACCACACUCACGGUCCUUCCUCACUCCACACAAAAACCAGCAUUCUAAAGGAACUCGGUUCUGUUCUGCCUUCUGCUGAGGGGCCCUGACUUACAACAGAAACAAGCAAACAAGACAAGUAAUCAAUCCAUCCCCUCCGGCCCAGCUCAUGACACCCUGGGUGACCCCUCAAACACGGGUGUUUGCCAAGUUCACCAAGUGGCUUCUUCCCCCAAAGGUAAUUCUACAGCUACUUUCAUUCUCCC